rnacentral:sRNA from 1 species
CCCUAGCCCCGAUUGCAAUGGAAAGCCUUUUGCAGGAUUGUUGUAUUUUUUCUUGGCUAAAAAAAAGCGACCAACGGAAGCUCUUUUUUUGCCUUAGAAAAAAACAACAAGACAAAAAAGCUUGGAACGGAAAGCGGGAAUAGCU